rnacentral:rRNA from 1 species
UACGUAGGGAGCAAGCGUUGUCCGGAUUUACUGGGUGUAAAGGGUGCGUAGGCGGCUUUGCAAGUCAGAAGUGAAAUCCAUGGGCUUAACCCAUGAACUGCUUUUGAAACUGCAGAGCUUGAGUGGAGUAGAGGUUGGCGGAAUUCCCGGUGUAGCGGUGAAAUGCGUAGAGAUCGGGAGGAACACCAGUGGCGAAGGCGGCCUGCUGGGCUCUAACUGACGCUGAGGCACGAAAGCGUGGGUAGCAAACAGG